rnacentral:rRNA from 1 species
GACGGAGGAGGCUAGCGUUGUUCGGAAUUACUGGGCGUAAAGCGCGCGCGGGCGGUUUGGCAAGUCAGGGGGGAAAGCCCGGGGCUCAACCUCGGAACGGCCUUUGAGACUGCCAGACUUGAGACCGGAAGAGGAGAGUGGAAUUCCCAGUGUAGAGGUGAAAUUCGUAGAUAUUGGGAAGAACACCAGUGGCGAAGGCGGCUCUCUGGUCCGGUACUGACGCUGAGGCGCGAAAGCGUGGGGAGCAAACAGG